CUGACAAUUACACAAAACGUAUCUUUGGCUGUCAAGAAAUUACAAAUUUUACUUCAGAUUUUCUAUUUACAUAUUACACAGGAGGCUGAAGAGAAGGAGCACCCGUGGUCUUCCGAGAGUGGUGAUUGCAACCGUGGUGACGAGGAUACCGUUGUUCAAAGACGGAGGCGUUGACCCCGAACUCUGCAUUGCUGCUGGUCUUUCCCCACUCAGCACGUGGACUAUGACUGAGGCCGAUUCUGUGUACACAGUAUAAAAUAGGACACGGCGCUCGGUGCACACAUACCACGCGAUGUGACUACCAGUGUCUAACUCCCACAGGCAGCGACAUCGACGAUCGCGCGGCGCGGGCGCGGGAGGAGGACAGCGGCGCGGGGUAGCGGAUUUACACCGGCUUCGUCUCUUCGUGCAGCAACGCCGCCCGCGACACUUACUUGUUUUCAUCUUGUUUUACUCUUUUAUAAUACCUUUUAUAAUACUAUAAGCUUACCAAAUAA